rnacentral:rRNA from 1 species
AUUGAACGCUGGCGGCAGGCCUAACACAUGCAAGUCGAGCGGAUGACGGGAGCUUGCUCCUUGAUUCAGCGGCGGACGGGUGAGUAAUGCCUAGGAAUCUGCCUGGUAGUGGGGGACAACGUUUCGAAAGGAACGCUAAUACCGCAUACGUCCUACGGGAGAAAGCAGGGGACCUUCGGGCCUUGCGCUAUCAGAUGAGCCUAGGUCGGAUUAGCUAGUUGGUGGGGUAAUGGCUCACCAAGGCGACGAUCCGUAACUGGUCUGAGAGGAUGAUCAGUCACACUGGAACUGAGACACGGUCCAGACUCCUACGGGAGGCAGCAGUGGGGAAUAUAGGACAAUGGGCGAAAGCCUGAUCCAGCCAUGCCGCGUGUGUGAAGAAGGUCUUCGGAUUGUAAAGCACUUUAAGUUGGGAGGAAGGGCAGUAAGCUAAUACCUUGCUGUUUUGACGUUACUGACGGAAUAAGCACCGGCUAACUCUGUGCCAGCCGCCGCCGUAA